AUUUAUAUAGUUUAAUUAUUAAAACUUUAUAUUUUCAUUAUAAAAAUAAUAUAUAAAAUAUUUAUAAAUU
rnacentral:tRNA from 1 species